GMSSYSGUUCUGGGGGAGUUCAGAGUACGUGUACCGUUCAGGGGUAAACCUGASAAACCCAMAAKAUCGAAUGGGGAKAUUCAUCGUCACRACGUUGGCUUCCGUGCGGCUCGCGAUGGUCGGGACUUCRGUCUCKCGCCACGCGGUCGCCGCGGUACGUCCGGCGUCRUCRGMKKGCRCUUCUCCCCUAGUAGGACGUCRCGACCCGUUGGGUGUCGGACCAAUGGCCGUUCGGUCGUCUGUUUUCGCUUUUACGGAGCGGCAGACCGAUCGGUUUAACGUCCGACUGCCCGGCGGUAUAGAACGCUUAAUCACGGUAUUGGGCCGCAACUUGAAUGCGUUCAGGCUCGUCGGCAGGCUCGUCUCGCUCGGAUUUACGGACCUAGCGCCGUUGCCGGGCGCUUGGCGUGGCUGUUAGUCGACGGUGCCCUCGGACUGGCUCUUACCUGUCUGCGACGCUACUGCUUUGGGUACUUUCAGGACCCGUCUUGAAACACGGACAAAGGAGUCWC
rnacentral:rRNA from 1 species